rnacentral:lncRNA from 1 species
CACGCAGACACACCUGGUUUAUGGCGUGUGGGGCAGAUGGAGGCACCACAGUUGGCUACUCAGAUGAGAACUUUGUCACACACUGUAGGUGAUGGAACAUUUCCGACUUUAUUAGUAGCUCAGUUGAAAAAAAGUGUAUACUUUGGGAUUCUGCUGCAUCCUGGUGUCCAACGGUAACUUGUGCCGAACCAAAGACAAGGCUGAUGGCUCCCGCCUCCACCCCAACUCCCCUCCAGGUCCUGCCCAUGUGCAUAAACUGGUUUGACAUGUUGCCAUUGAAGCAACCAGAAGGAAGCGUUGACUCUCAAAGGCCUGCCAUCGCUGCAAGUCAGGACAGCCAAAUGCUCACACCAAUAAGGAGGCAGAGGAGUUUGAGACUCAGGAGGACAUGUCCAAGUCCAUCUCCUGUGGACAGAUUUAGACCAGAUUUACAGGUUUAAUAAAAUGAAGCCUUCAGAGAAAAGAACACCUUUCUUUUAGUGAAACAUGGAUAAGGUUAAGUGAUGUUUUGAGGUUGCUUUGCUGCCUCUGUCCCAAGUGCCUUCAACAGGUGCAUGGAAUCAUGAAAUAAGGAGAAUAACAAGGCAUUUGGCAGCAUGAUGUUCUACCCAGAAAGAUAAGCCUCCAUCAAAGGUUAUGGGUCUUUCAGCACUACAGUAGCCCAAAGCAGACUGUUCUGAAGUGUCCAGCUUUGGGUCCAUAUCUGAAUCCCACUGAAAACAGCUGUUGCGAGAAGGCACCGUUCCAGUGUGGGAGAACUGGAGCAGUUUGCAGAAGAAGAGUGGGUGAAACUGUGAGAAGAGAGGUGCAGGGAACUCAACAAUGGCUAUAGGAGGUGCCUUAUUACCGUUAUUCUAAUAAAAAGCUUUGCUACCAAAUAUUAAGGUGUCA